rnacentral:rRNA from 1 species
AUUGAACGCUGGCGGCAUGCCUUACACAUGCAAGUCGAACGGCAGCGCGGGAGCAAUCCUGGCGGCGAGUGGCGAACGGGUGAGUAAUAUAUCGGAACGUGCCCAGUAGUGGGGGAUAGCCCGGCGAAAGCCGGAUUAAUACCGCAUGAGACCUGAGGGUGAAAGCGGGGGAUCGCAAGACCUCGCGCUAUUGGAGCGGCCGAUAUCAGAUUAGCUAGUUGGUGGGGUAAAGGCCUACCAAGGCAACGAUCUGUAGUUGGUCUGAGAGGACGACCAGCCACACUGGGACUGAGACACGGCCCAGACUCCUACGGGAGGCAGCAGUGGGGAAUUUUGGACAAUGGGCGAAAGCCUGAUCCAGCCAUGCCGCGUGCGGGAA